GAUGAACGCUGGCGGCAUGCCUAACACAUGCAAGUCGAGCGGGUAGAGGUGUUUCCCGUGGCGAACGGGUGAGUGACGGGUAAGAACCUGCCAGGGGGAUGGGAACAACAACUGGAUACGGUUGCUAAUAGCCCGCAGACUGAGGAGCAGAAGUAAAAAUGAGCCCGAGGGAGCGCUCGCGUCUGAUCAGCUAGUUGGUGCGGGAAUGGCUUACCAAGGCGAUGAUGAGUAGCUGAACCGAGAGGAUGAUCGGAGACAGUGGAACUGGGACACGGCCCAGACUCCGACGGGGGGAAGGAGUAGGGACUUUUGGGCGAUAGGCGAGAGCAAUAUCCAGCAAUGCGGGAUGGGUGGAGAAGGUCAUGGGGUGGGAAAGUGGUAUGAGUAGGGAGGGAGAACUGUUUGUCUAGGCGUAGAAAUAUUGACGGUACCUGAGGAAUAAGCAUCGGCUAACUCCGUG
rnacentral:rRNA from 1 species